CACGUAGGCGGAUUGUUAAGUCAGGGGUGAAAUCCUGGAGCUCAACUCCAGAACUGCCUUUGAUACUGACGAUCUCGAGUUCGGGAGAGGUGAGUGGAACUGCGAGUGUAGAGGUGAAAUUCGUAGAUAUUCGCAAGAACACCAGUGGCGAAGGCGGCUCACUGGCCCGAUACUGACGCUGAGGUGCGAAAGCGUGGGGAGCAAACA
rnacentral:rRNA from 1 species